rnacentral:rRNA from 1 species
GAUGAACGCUAGCUACAGGCUUAACACAUGCAAGUCGAGGGGAAACGAUAGAGAAAGCUUGCUUUUUCUAGGCGUCGACCGGCGCACGGGUGAGUAACGCGUAUCCAACCUGCCCACCACUUGGGGAUAACCUUGCGAAAGUAAGACUAAUACCCAAUGACGUCUCUAGAAGACAUCUGAAAGAGAUUAAAGAUUUAUCGGUGAUGGAUGGGGAUGCGUCGGAUUAGCUUGUUGGCGGGGUAACGGCCCACCAAGGCGACGAUCAGUAGGGGUUCUGAGAGGAAGGUCCCCCACAUUGGAACUGAGACACGGUCCAAACUCCUACGGGAGGCAGCAGUGAGGAAUAUUGGUCAAUGGACGAGAGUCUGAACCAGCCAGGUAGCGUGCAGGAUGACGGCCCUAUGGGUUGUAAACUGCUUUUAUAAGGGAAUAAAGUGAGAGUCGUGACUCUUUUUGCAUGUACCUUAUGAAUAAGGACCGGCUAAUUCCGUGCCAGCCGCCGCGGUAA